rnacentral:rRNA from 1 species
GAUGAACGCUGGCGGCGUGCCUAAUACAUGCAAGUCGAGCGAACAGACGAUGAUCUUUCUCCUCUUACUUUAUCGGCUGACGUGUGAUUAACACUUUGAUAACCUACCUAUAAUACUGGUAUAACUUCGGGAAACCUGAGCUAAUACCUGAUAAUAUAUUGCACCUCAUUGUUCAUUAGUUAAAUUCGGUUUUUCUUUCUCUUAUAGAUUUUUCCUCUCCUCAUUAGCUAGUUGUUAAGGUAACGGCUUACCAAGGCAACGAUGGGUAGCCGACAUGAGAGGGUGAACGGCCACACUGGAACUGAGACACGGUCAAGACACCUACGGGAGGAAGCAGUAGGGAAUAGUCCGCAAUGGGCGAAAGCAUGACGGAGCAACGCCGCGUGAGAGAUGAAGGGAUUCGGAUCGUAAAACUCUGUUAUUAGGGAAGAAAAAAAGUGUAAGUAAAUAUGAAAGUAUUGACGGUACCUAAACAGAAAGCCACGGCUAACUACGUG